UAUUUUUUUAUAAAGCAUAUUUAAAAAUAGGAGCUUAUAGCAAAGCUUUUCUUUUCCUAGAGCAAGGCAAAUAUUGGACAAUGUUUCCAGUUUGACACUUGAGCAGAUUGUGAGCCUUCAAUUUCUGUCUUCCAAAAGAAGUUUGCUAAUCUUGUCUUUUUUUUCCAACCCAAAAAUUCCAAACUUAUAAUUAUCUGGAUCUUAACAGAGAAGCACAAUAACGGCUUCAGAAACAUGUUUGGAGAGCUAAUAAAAACUGAUUAUUUUUUUUGUGGUUAAUGACUGUGGUUUAACUAAUUUAAUGUUAAAAAACAAUUGUGCUUAAUACAGUCAGAAGAAACGAUCCUGUUUUGUGCUGGUUGCGGAUGUCCCCAGAUAUCAGCUGACUGAGCUUUUCUCUGUUCAGCAUGUAAUAAAGGCAUCUGAAGCAGUGCUAGGACCCAAGCAUCACAGCCUUUUGUCAGUGCUUUGGAAAACAGAAAGGUCAGUCUGGUUUUGUCUGAAAUCAUAGCAGUUCUCUGCAUUCUGGCUUUCAAAAAGUAGUAGUUUUCAUCUGUUACUUUCCUAAUCUAGGUGUCUAAAUUACUCAUCCUUGAUGAUAACUUUCUGGAGAAAGAAAUUUGUUAAAUUGUUGCAAGUGGUGACCAUUCCAUCGAGGACCUGAGGGUUCUUUUUUUCCCAUUUUUUAAACUACUCAGUGAAACGACACUUUCGACAACUCAAUUAUAUGAAGAAAGAGCCUUACGUCUGUAUUUGCAUGUGUGAUAUAUGAACUAUAAUCUGUACAUCAGGAGCACCUUGUUAGAUAUUCAAGAUGGAUCACACAUGGAAAGAGAAAUACACUUCUAACCUAGUAAGGAAGCUUCGUACAGGUGGAAAGUCUGUGAUUCAUGAUCUGAGAUAGUUUUUCAGAGCUAAUUAAAUGCAACUGGUUGAAUUACUUAAAAUUUGAUCAUAUAUUAUCACUGGCUGAAAAGAAGUUAAUGAUGGCAAGACGUUUUUCUUCCCACGGAAGAUAUGACCUGAGCUAAGAAAUGAUUUAUUGUUGGUCAUCACAAGAGAAACUCAGAAUGUAUCCCAUUAUUCUUUCUUGCUUAUUAGUAGGAAAUUGAUUCCCCUCUAUGAGAAUACGUUUCUUUAUGAGAAUUUCUACAUAGCUGUGCUGGAUAGUUGAGGGAGGUGUCUUCUUUGAACCACCAGCAGCCAUGUUCCCACAACUGCCCUUCCCUGAGGGAAAGUGGAGUGUUCAGUGACAUUGUGUAGAGGAGUUCUGGGGUAAUUCUGGUAACUACCUGUGGCUCAGGUAAACAUUUUGUGAAGUCUUGCUUGGUCAAGUCUGUAUGCAGUGUGUUCUGUUGCACUGCACGAUUCUGUUCAGUCCGAUGAAGGGUAAUUUUGUGCAGCUGAAGUGUAUUCUGCCAUACACAGGUCCUUAACUUCAUGUUGUGUCCUGGUGAAUGGCUGGGAGUUUGAGUGGCAAGGUGUGUUUGUGCAGAGUGAACUCUCAUCAGCUUCAAGUAAAUCCAUGGUUUUGGAGUUUAAGAGGUAGAAAGGAUGGUUCAUUUGUCUCCUGAAAAUGCCUAAUACCAACUGUGAGGACUGUAGUGUGUCUGGUCUUGGUUUAUUAUCUUCAGAUCUGGGUGCUUUGUUCGUGUUUAGCUGGUGGUUGGUGAGCUACUGAAAUGCUGUAGCAUGACCAACUACUUGGUUGUAGCAUAAUCAGAGCCUAUCCAUGAGGAGUUUGUAAAGUGCAAUGUUAAGAUUCAUGGUAUAUUACUACAAAUGAGGCAGAAUUCAAAAUCUUCCCAGUCUUACUUUCUAAAGGUGCCUGUGUGUCCAAAGUUACCAGCAGGCAUUUAGAAUUAUGAUAGGAUCCUCAGAAAUACCCAUCUGUAUUUCCAACUUUAUAAAUAUAAAUGUGUGUGGUUUUUUUUUUUAAAUCAGACCUCUAGUUUUGUAGCCAAGGUAGAAACAUUGUGCUGUAUGAAAUUUCUAUUUGAAUUAUUCUUGACAGAGCUGUAAGUGUAGCAGUGAAAUAUUCAUACUGCAAACCUACAUUAAUUCAAGCUUUCUUGGCUCUGAAACGGUCUCAAACGCAGAUCCAUUUUCAUGAACAUCUUUCUAAGCUGUAGAAUUUAAAACCCACGUGGUCAUGUUUUCCAAAUGAAAAGUAGAGAUCUUUGAGAUCUGAAAGAAGUUGGGAUAAGUAGUAUUUCUGUUCAAAUAAAAAAAAUAAAAAGCAAAAUUCAGAGUUACCAGACAUGAGAAGUGAUUGUGCCUGUUGUACUAAGGUACCUAUUAGGGUGAACAAACAAAGUGUGUUGUAGUUCAUGCCUGCUGACAGCUCACUGUGUUAAGUUUAAACAUGCUUCUUGACAGGUGGAAUUUUUGUCCCUCUUUUUGACAGUGCUGGAAAUGUGAGAAUUGAACAACUUCGUCUUUAUUGCUCAUGCUUCUUCUUCUGCUUCUUUUAUUCUGCUAAGAAUUGGAUCUUAAAAACUACUGGACCAGAAUGCAACUGCAGUGAGACAUCCUGAAUCUUCCCUUUAGUAAUGCAUGAGCUUUUUAAACUUUGACUCUUUGUAGAGAGAGGAGGAUGGGCAGUGGUGCCAUGAAAUUUGAACGGCAUUUCUUCCUCUGUGUGUCUUGUUUUCUAAUAAGAUUCUCCAUUAUACAGUUACACAAUUGUGGAUGGCUGUCAUUGCCAUUGGGCAUUGUGUGUGUAAUGGGCAGCUGGGCUGGGAUUCUGGGAGCUGCUCCAGAAUUCAGACUUAAAAAGAAAUUGUCUCAUCUUUCUGUUAAUUGGAAUGCUGUACUUGUAAAUUUUACUUGGAAUUGUAAAAGUGGGGGUGGGAGGAGGCGGCGGGUUCUAUGCGUUUGCUCUGCUUCAUUUGAACAACAAUCUGCAACUAAAACUGCACAAUACCUUAGGCUCUCAUUAAACCUUUCUUAAAGAGAGAUUGUUAAUAAGGUAUAGUGAUGGCAAAGGAUGUCAAAGUGCCUUUCAGCUGUGUGAUUCUUUGUUUCACUACUGCAUGUGAAUGCAAGCUUCUCUGAGAGCUCAUGCUUUCAUUACUUGUUUGUAUUUUUCUUUUUGGUCUAGGAGAGUGUCUGUCUUCUGUAAUAAUGCCUUGCUAGUGAAACUGCGGCAGGAGGCUUCUGGGUUUGUUUGGUUUUAUUUGUUUUUACACCAUUCUCAUCCCAAACCUUUGAGACAUUUUGGGUCUGACAUUCACACCUGAAUAAUUUCAGGCUUUUCAUCAGCUUAUCGGGAGCUUUAAAGUGUGGAACGGUUCCUGUACGUGUUGACUUUUCUUUAUGUGAUUUGAUGCUGCAUGAUGAGGACCUGGUUAUACUUGUCACGUGGAGAGGAAAAACACAUCUCAGAAAGUUGUUAUCAACAGGUGGAGUCAGAGAAAGGGCUGAAGCUUCAGUCAUUGCCCACCACAUAAAUCUUAAGAAAGUAAUACUUGGAAGGAGUACCUGUGUUGAAUCUCAUCUUUACAGACAUGGUUAAAGUGUGAGUCUAUAGUGCUCGGCUUGAGGAUGCCUUGCACAUCACAACCUGAGCAAUUACCUGGGAGCAAUAGCAGGAACAUCUCUAGAGAAAUACAGAGGCAGAAUAACUAGCCUGUAAAUGGUUGCCCUCAAGACAAGAGGCGGCAGCACCAGAGAACAGCUGUAGUUCACUGCAUAGAGGAAUAUGGUUUGGCGACCUAGGUUGAAUGCAGAUGGGAUUUUCUGUCAGCCAAAAUGGAGGUGGUAAGUGUUCUGAAACUCAGAAUGUUCCUUGGGAUCUUGAGGAACAGCUUGUGAUCAAUCACUUAGAAAGGGGUGAAAACCCUUAAUGAGACCUUAGUAUGAUGUAGUAGUAAGAAUGCAAAUUACAGAACAAAGUCUUUAGUUCAUAGAAAAAGUGUUCCCACCUCAGUAAGAUCUUUCAUUGUCUCCAAUUGCUUCCUGCUUGGUCCUUAGUUCUCUGUCUCUGAGCAGGCAGAACUGCCACCAUGGCCAAUGGACAGGGAGGAGCCAGCCCAGCACAGGACAUGGUAGGGGACCUUCUCUUCAACCUGCACGUUCUUUACAGGCAGCUCUCACAACUUACCAUCUCCAGCACACUGCCAAAUUUGGUAUUGGCCUGUUUGGUUCAAGAAAUCUGGCGGGCAGGGUUGACCAGCAGAUCGACAGCACGACUGUGCAGACCUCAUUUACUUAGUUAAUGGUGCAUGCAAGACAGCAACUCUUCAUGUUUUUGUUUCCCUUUAUUAUCGUGUGAAGGGUAUUUUCCAGUAUUGCUGCUGAUCUCAUGGACUUGAGAGCAUUUUUGCUUCUUCAGUGGUUUUCUUGGUCAGGCUUUUUGCAGAAAAGCGUGAUGGGGGAAACUUUUUUUUUUUAAUUUUUAAAGGGGAAAUGCAAUUGUUAAAUACUUUAAAGGAGUUUCUUCAUAUUUGGUUGGCUCCAUGGUGGCUUGAUUUAUUUAUUUGUUUGUUUUUCUUCAACUGAAUACAGAUGACGAAACUAACUUGUGACACUAGAGAUCUUAUGCUAAGCAUUUGUCAUUCAGGAUAGCAUGCGGAUUCCCAUAUUUGCUAUACACAAAAAGCAGGGUGGAUUUAAGGCUGUAGCGGGGUCAGCUUCAUUGUUCUACUGCUGUUAUACAAAUAAUUUGCAAUACUGAAAAUAUGAAAUUUCUGCCCCAUUUGAGGUAGAAGUACAUCUAAGCUAGUUGAGACAUUUAAGCACCACUCAACCUGUUACAGGAUGAUUAUUUAUCAGAAGCAAAGCUUGUAGGUAUCUCCUUAGAACCCAUCAGACACAAUAAUGCUGCAGUAUAUACAAUUCGCAUCAAAGGAAAAAUACCUAUGUACCAAAAAUUACCUUGGGCAGUUUGCUGCAGUAAUGACAGAAGGGAUGCACAUGAUGAUAAUUUUCAUUUCGUACUGUGUUUUCAUCUAAGGAUGAUGGUGAAGGAAUUACACCUCCUAAUGUUCCUUUCAAAGAUGACAAUAUUGUUCAACCUAUAUUAAAGGUAAUGAGAUGAGCAGUGAGUGGUUAGAUCUGGUGAAAAAUGAAGUUUUAAAUGCAUACUUCAUUGUCUAAAAGCUCGCAGAUGACUUUUUUCCUAUAAUGGCCGUAGAAAAUGUGUUGGCAGCAUAUCACAAUUAAUAAUCCUUACUCCAAUUUAUGUGCUACAGGCACUCCAAAAUUACUCUGAGAUAUUUCUUACCCAAGUUUAUAACCAGAUUCAAAUCAGUCUCUACAUUCGUGCCAAAAAACUGAACCGCAGUCAUCUCACAGAAAAUAAUUCCAUCUACCUGACAGAUGAGUCUUAAAUCCCUGUUUUUCUCCUUUCUCCAGAGUGAAAUUCACUUUAAUCUGGUAUUAAUGUAUUUUUCCUUCAGUUGCCUGCAAGGGAAUCCCAUAAUCUUGCAGUAGUGAUUGCACAGACAUGGAAGGCGCUGUACGCGUGCAGCAUUACCGUGGGUUUUUCCAGUCAUCUAGAUUGUAUAAAAUCCUUUGAUGUUAAUUGGGACAAGCUUUCUCUCUAGGGUGAUGUUGAAUUUAUCUUUCAGUGUCUUCUCCACCUCUUCAUCUUUAAGGGUUAUAAAUUCUACCAGAUCCAUGUUUUCCUUGUAAUUGUAUUUGGUCUCAGUGAGCGUCCACCCAAUGAGAGCUCGGAAGCCGUCGGUGGUCUGAAGGGUGCAGAUGGACUUCUUUGUGAAGAGGGACUCUGGAGACGUCUGAAGGACUCUUCAUGACCUAGUCUGCUGGAUGAGGAGCUAUACAACGUAAUUUCUGUCUUCUAAUCCAUGAAAAGUCAUGUGCACCGAUGUGGCUUUCACAACAGUCCAUUGUAAUCUGCUGGCCAUCAUUGUGGGCCGGGACCUGUAGAUGUCUGCCUGUCUCCUUCAUUUGAUGGAUGGGGAAGAUGGUGAUCCUUUUUGGGAAGAUGAAAACCAUGUCAGGAUGUAUCUGGGAGCUGUACCUGAGCUUUAGGCACACACUGCCCCAUCAGUUGGUGUGGCUGAGGACCGAUGUUCUUAUGCCACCCUCAUUCAUUGCUCAUCGUGUUCAGCACCUGCCAUGAAACUCAGCAUCAGAAAGGUAAAAGGCAUCCAACAUGCUGUGAAAACACACUGCUGGCAUGUCUUAACUUCCCAGAGUUCUUCACUUUUCCAGGAUCUUGUCUUUAUUGUCACUUUUGUGCAGAAUGCUGUUGAUAAUAAACAGCAGCACAGCUUAUUGUUGUGCCUGUUUGAUGUCAGAGGAAAGCGGGGCCCUGACUGUUUAUAUUAUAUUUUUCAGAGGUUGGUCUAAUAUUGAUUGUUUCAAUUUCAGAUACCAGAAGUCUGAUUUUUCUCAAGAACUGUUGAAGAGUCUCAGCUCCUAUUGAUCUUAUUUCAAUUUCAGAAAAAUCGUACUGAAAGGAGCUAAAAUUGAAAGCACAGAAUUGAAGAGUUUGGAGGGGUUUUCUGUUUGUUUUUAAGUUCCCUUACAUGAAUAGCUCAUUUCAAGCCAAUAUCUGGUAAGGGAAUAGGACAUGAGUCUCUCAACUCACUUCAUCAGCAACUCAUCAGUACCUAAUAGUGGGGUGUUUUGAGGAACUUUUAACCUUUCUUUCCUUUUUUCCUUAUGAAAUUUUUAUGGCCAAAUCCAGCUCAAGUCUCUGCUUCAGACCAUUAAAAGAACUGAACAAUUUGCAAAAAAUGUGUUGAGAAGAAGAUUGGAAAUAAUACCAAAAAACAUUACAGCGUUACAGAUCUUCUGUGUAAAAUGUGUCUCCGCAAUCUCUUCAUCUGUCAGGGUUGUGGUCUGCAGCAGGUCUGUGUCCUCCUUGUACUUGUACUUCAUCUCAGAGAAGGUCCAUCCAACUAGGGCAUAAAACCCUUCAGUUGUCUGGAGGCUGCAGAUGGACUUCUUCUGAAGUAUGGUAUCCGGACACACUUGUAGGUAUGUGUUUAGCUCCUGGAAGUCAUCUAUAUGUUUUGGCUCAAGUGUGAAUGAAUACAGUUUUCUGAUAUUGCCCAUUUCUGGAGUAUCAGAGAAAGGAACACUUCCCUCUGGAACAUAAUGUUUCCUCUUGACUUUCUCCAAGUACCAGAUGCCACUGUCUUCUGUGAAGCGGAAGAUGCCAGGAAUCUGGGGCUGAUCCUUCCCAGAAAUCAGCAACAUCGGCAGCCAUGUUUGGUAGGGACCACCACCAAAACCAGCAUCUACUAUGUAGGAACUUCCCUUGAUCACAACCUUCAGUAGGAUGUGAUUUAUUUGAUCAAUGUAUGCCUUCUUUGCUGGGUCAUAACUGUUUCCUCCGAGCACACAGACGUCAUACCCCAUUUCUUUCAAAGCCCAAAAUAAAAGGUAGUUUGUUUCCAUGCACCAUCCACCACGUUUCUUUUUCACUAUUUUAUUGUAAGUAGAUUGCAAAUCCAGGUCAAUGGUCUCUCCGCAAUGCAUGCUGAGGUUUUCAAAAGGAAUCGCCUGGAUGUGAUGCUGGAAGAUGGCUGUUAAGGUUUGCAAGUCUGCAUCCUUACGGGAGCCAUCAAAAGAAAUUCUUGAGAAAUACUCCUGAAUGUUCAUUUUACCUGUGUGAGCAGGAAAAUAGCCAGUUACUGUUGUGCAGCUCUCAAGGGGCUUCCCUCCCAUUUCUGUAGCACAGGUUAACCAGCCUGCAAAUGUAUCUGAGGCUGUUUCACUGAAGAUCUGAAAGACACCUGUGCCUUUGGUAGAGAUGAAUACAGGCUAGAGCUGCUUCUGUCAUCUGUAUUUCUUAAAGAGACAAGAAGGGAAGCAGGUAACACUAAAGCUCUAUCUCUCAGAAAUUGUUUUCAGCACAGUUGGGUGUCUCUGCUACAGGAAAACACAGCACAUGGCAUAACAGAAUCUUUGGCCCUGGAUGAAUGUCCACGUGACCAAAAUUUUAGGAAACUGGCAAAUGAGGUUUGCAAACAAGCUGUUAGCCUAUGCUAGCAAUAGUAACUGCAAUGCUUUACUACUGCUUUUACUGUAACAGUUAAGUAAUUCUUUAUCACACAGAUAAUUUAACAGGGGACUUUCACAUUCAUGGCUUUAGCUAACCAGGAUAAACUCCUCAAUGUGUCACUAUUUCAGACAAGCUUCCAUGCGAAGUAAACUGUUGUUGUUCUUAAUCUCUUUAGUUUUCCUGUGGAGUUCAGACACAGCUUUGAUUCUGUCUGUUAAAAAGAAGGGAUUGUUAAUUGUUCUACCCAAAAGCCAGGAGAACUCAUAAUUACUUCAAACACCUUCAGGACGCAUCCAGUGACUUUUGGUUUCUUUUGCUAUCUUUUACAAACCAAAGAAUUCAGCUCAAAUUGUUGCAUAUGUUUUUGUGUCUUCGUGUCUCUCAUUCCCUUUCUUUUCAUUAGCGGAAAGAGCAGAGAUGCAAAAGGUUCCCUAUAAGACUUUUAAUCCACUGACUGAUUUGGUGUCUGUAGGGAUUUGUCUUGCCUUUAAUUUCGAUUUCAUUUAGCUUUUUUUUCCAUUCCAAAUAUGUUUGUGGUUUUUUUUCCCCCAGAAUGAUUUAUAAUCUGAU